rnacentral:rRNA from 1 species
UACGGGGGGGAGCAAGCGUUGUUCGGAUUUACUGGGCGUAAAGGGCGCGUAGGCGGCCACCGCAAGUCGAUUGUGAAAUCUCCGGGCUUAACCCGGAAAGGUCAACCGAUACUGCGGGGCUAGAGUGCAGAAGGGGCAACUGGAAUUCUCGGUGUAGCGGUGAAAUGCGUAGAUAUCGAGAGGAACACCUGCGGCGAAGGCGGGUUGCUGGGCUGACACUGACGCUGAAGUGCGAAAGCUAGGGGAGCGAACGGG